rnacentral:rRNA from 1 species
AAGCGUACGUGGUGGAUGCCUUGGCAGCUAGAGGCGAUGAAGGACGUUGUAGACUGCGAUAAGCCCCGGGGAGCCGUCAAACAGGCUUUGAUCCGAGGAUUUCCGAAUGGGGAAACCCAACCAGCUUGCUGGUUAUCGUUAACUGAAUACAUAGGUUAACGAGGCGAACGCGGAGAACUGAAACAUCUAAGUACCCGCAGGAAAAGAAAUCAAACGAGAUUCCCCUAGUAGCGGCGAGCGAACGGGGAGUAGCCCUUAAGUUACAGCAGGUUUAGCAGAAUGCUCUGGAAAGUGCAGCGAUAGAGGGUGAUAGCCCCGUAUGCGAAAGGCCUGUUGUGAUGAAAUCGAGUAGGUCGGGACACGUGAAAUCCUGACUGAAUAUGGGGGGACCAUCCUCCAAGGCUAAAUACUCCUAGCUGACCGAUAGUGAACUAGUACCGUGAGGGAAAGGCGAAAAGAACCCCGGUGAGGGGAGUGAAAUAGACCCUGAAACCGCGUACGUACAAGCAGUCGGAGCCC